CGGGACGGGUGAGUAAUGUCUGGGAAACUGCCUGAUGGAGGGGGAUAACUACUGGAAACGGUAGCUAAUACCGCAUAACGUCGCAAGACCAAAGAGGGGGACCUUCGGGCCUCUUGCCAUCGGAUGUGCCCAGAUGGGAUUAGCUAGUAGGUGGGGUAACGGCUCACCUAGGCGACGAUCCCUAGCUGGUCUGAGAGGAUGCAGCCACACUGGAACUGAGACACGGUCCAG
rnacentral:rRNA from 1 species